CGCACAGCUGUUCAAACAGCAGGAUCGAUAUCCUUAAGUAAUUAAAGAGAAAGCGGAACAUAUUGCAAAUAGAAAGAGUGAAUCAGGGAAGCUGAAGAAGGAGGAGGAGAAGAAGACAGGAGCUUGGGAAAAUGAGUUUGUUUAUUUGAUUUGAUUUGAUUUGAUCUUACCGACCUAAACAACGAUAACAGUAAUGGACAGUAAUGAAAUACUUGAUUUGAUGGAUAUUCCAGGCCUGCAUGAGUGAAAUGCACUAUUGUGGAGGUGAAACACUUGAUGUGAAAGUGGACGUUCUGCACGCGCACCACUUCUCCCUUGCAAAUGUCACCACAUCGGAAGCAGGAGAUGGUGUCUUGGGCAAAAGAACCUCUACGUCCUUCACCAUAGCUGGGGUGCUG